AAUACAUCCAAAUUGUUACAGCUUUGUCUCUGUGCCAGGAGAAGCACUCCUCCACUGGCUAAGAUGUGUCGGGUAACAACUACAGACACACACGCACAUGAGUGAAUGUGUGUGAGAGUGUUUGUGUGUGUGUAUGUGUGUGUGUGUAUAUAUACAAGUGUGCACCUUUCUCAUUCUGUGAGUGUUUCUCUGAACCCAAAUCAGGUGUCUAUUGAUCACAUUUUAAAUUUCCCCUCCAGGGCAGCUUGUGAAGUUAGAACUAACUCAGCUAAAUGUUAUGGCUGUGACUCAUUUAUAUGCAAGGGAAGGGAGGAACUGGGUUUUUUUCCCUCUGAAACAGCUAUCCAGCAUUAAAAACGUCUGCAUAUAUGUGUGUUUGAAGACCACCACACUUUUAAACAGCAUCUCAGAGCCAGCAGCAUGAACUCCUGGGUUGUGGAUUGACGGCUAAACAAUCAGGUGUUUUAAUUAGAUACUCCACAGACAGGUGUCUUCUUGAUACAGAGACCACAUUCCUUGCCUCUUUCCUCUUCAUUUGCUGCUAGAAUGGGCUUUCAUACAGACCCAGCAAGGCAGAGGAGGAACAUCCUUGCAGUGGCUGGGGACACUUCAUUAUGCUCAUUGCUAGGUGGACUUUUUUUUUGCAGCUGUGUCUCUUCAGGCUUGUGGAAGGAACCCUCAAGGGGGCCACUGUCACUUCUCAUGUAAGAAGCCAUAGCUGUACCUGGUCACCUGGGGACAUGGGGACAUUCCUCCAUCCCUCCAGGAUGGGACCUGCGAGGAUGUCCCUGGGCCUCUCUGACCUGCUGUUUGUAGGAAUGAUGUGCCUUUCCUGAGGGCCAGGAGGGCUACUUGCCUUGGAGAUUUGUGUGGCAAAGAGUGGGAAAGUCACCACCCACGUGGUGUCCCCAGUCAGCAGGGGCAUUUCACUCAGCAGGAUCCCACUGCCAAGCCCCAGAUACCUGGUGUUCCUCCAGGAAUCCAGUGUUUCCACAUGCCUUCUAUGCAUUUCGGAUGCUCACUACAGCAGAGAGCCACUGCACUAGAGAAUUUACAGCCUUUGCUGAACAAUGCUCUAUAAGAGACAAGUGUCCUGGAGUCUCCUGGCUAAGCCAGGUGGACCCUGGAAUGGCCAAGUAAGUUUGGCCAUCCCAGCUGCCUGACUUUUCACACUUUCCUAGAGUGGGGAGGGAUCCUGGAUGCUAGGAACCCAUAAAGCUAAUACGUCCCAAACACAUUAGACUAUGAGAGUCUUGUUUUUCUUAACUAGAAUAUUAAUUAAAAUUUCUAGAGAAUACUCCUAUAGAGUGAGGUGACCCUCACUCUCCACAGGAAUUCAGGAUGACUAACUUCCUGUGAGAGUUCUAUGUAGCCUGGGCUGGCCUUGAAUUUGUCACCUUCUUGCCUCUGUCUCCUGAGUGGCCUGGGCUUUGCAGUUCUGGCCUAACCCCUGAGAAAGCUUUCAGGAUGCAGGGUCAGGCACAGACAAGGGGAUGUCGACCUCAGUGAAACGCACACUAUAUGGAGUGAGUGCUUUGGAUGCUAGAAUUAGAACACAAAUGAUUUUAUCUUUAUUUAAAAACCAGGCGUCCCACGGGGGUGGAAAGAGCACACGGAGGUCAUUGUCCUGUGCUUUAGCCUAUGAGAGUUUCCACUUCCCCUCCCUCCUCCUGGGUUUGGUUGCCCCCACCCUACUCUACAUCCCUUCUAUAACUGAAAAUGAUUGUAAAAUAAAUUUUUAUGAGAAUUUUAAAAACUGUCCAAGAAGACUUUUUGGAGCAUUAUAAAGUCCCACACCUAAAACGCACAGCAGGCUGAAUAUUUCAGUUUUCUUAAUGAUGUCAAUCAAUUUUUUCUUGCCUCCUAAGUCUUUUAAAAAACGAAACUCUGUACAUAUGUAACAAAGAGUUACUUUUUAAGAUAUCCAAAGGGCUGAGAGCUACCGUGGUGUCUACAAAGUAGCACAAUGCAGAGUUGUUGACGUGUUUUGCAUCCUCGUGUACAUUCACCCUCUCUCUGGCCUUGUACUUCCGCUUCUUCCUUCCCUAAUGAAUGACCUUACUUACUGACUGACAUCCCCCUGAAGUCAGCUGAUGUGCUUAUAACCCACCCAGGAGGGAAACAGGUAAAUUUCUUGUUUGUGCUCUGAAGGCCAGAGGCAUUGCUGUAUGCGUUACCUGUUUUUGUAACCUUGUAACCACCUGCUGAUUGGUGUUUCUUGGCGAUAGGCUCAGAGACACCUAGAUUAGAAACUUCACC
rnacentral:lncRNA from 1 species